GUCAGCAUGGUAUAGUGGUUUGAUUGUUGGACUGUGACUCUGGAGACCAGGGUUUGAUUCCCUGCUUGACC
rnacentral:tRNA from 1 species